GUCGAACGCUACGAGUAGCAGAGCCGGGUGCCCGAAUUAUACGAGCAGCCCGCCGCCCGGUGCGGGGCCGGUUCCCACCACUCGGCAUCCCGGAUCGACUCCUUACCACGACGCGAUUGGAGACGAGAGAAGGGGGACGGAGGCGGCGACACCGGGCAUGCCGUCAGUGUCCAACUUGGACGAGAAUUUCUACGAUGAGAUUUUGGAAGAGCGCGAGGAUCGGCCAGCGUUGAAGAAGGACGGAGACGAUGCGUCGACCACCCUCUCCAAGGAUCAGCCAUUUUAUGCAGGGAGAAACGCGAGGGAUCGCAUCCUUAAGCGGAAAUGAGUGAUACGGCGACAAGGACCUCGUGAAUUCAGUUAUGGGCAAUUAUAUUAUUCGUCUUCGUGCGAUGACCGACGCAAUUAUACACGCGUGUAGGUACACACACGCGUACAUGUACAUGCGUGUGCACGUGUGCGGCAAUUCGAACCGAACAAGAGGCAUGCCGGAUUCGUUGUCUUGCGUAACAUAUUUUUAGAAUUCAAAUCUCAUAGAGUUGUAAGUCUGGAAUUGUCACAGCGAUAGUCCUUCCAUAUUGUCAUAUUACUCAUAUUAUGUGUAACAUUUCACGAUUAUAAUCCACAGGUAUAUUCGUAUUUAUUCACAGAUAUCUAUGAAUAUACGCACUGAUGGAUUUGAAAAAGUUUGCACGUUGAUGAAUACAGUUUAUUUAUAGAUGUUAUUAUUCUACGGUGUGAUAAUAUUAAUACAUCUCUACUAAUGUUAUACAGAGGUAAAAUUGUUUGUGUGUAUGCAGGGGGUAAUCUCUGGAACUACCGAACCGAUAUUGACAACCCUUUCGCCAAUAAAAAGCUAAAUUAUCCCUGAGCAA
rnacentral:misc_RNA from 1 species